rnacentral:rRNA from 1 species
GAUUUCUGGUUUGAUUUGCCUGUCCCGCCACGGUUAACGUGUGUGUGUGACUAAGUAGAUCUACCAUCCUUCUAGAUGAAUCAAAAAUCUGGGAUUUAUUUACUUAAAUUCCAGAUUUUCUUCUAGAUCUUUUACUUUGAAAAAAUUAGAGUGUUUCAAGCAGGCGUAUAGCAGCUAUGAAUACAUUAGCAUGGAAUAAUAAUUUAGGACUUCGGUUCUAUUUUGUUGGUUUCUAGGACUGAAGUAAUGAUUGAUAGGGACAGUUGGGGGUGCUAGUAUUCAUUGGCCAGAGGUGAAAUUCUUGGAUUCAAUGAAGACUAACUUAUGCGAAAGCAUU